AGCGAACGCUGGCGGCAGGCCUAACACAUGCAAGUCGAGCGCCCGUAGCAAUACGGGAGCGGCAGACGGGUGAGUAACACGUGGGAACGUACCCUUCGGUUCGGAAUAACCCAGGGAAACUUGGACUAAUACCGAAUACGUCCGUAAGGAGAAAGAUUUAUCGCCGAAGGAUCGGCCCGCGUCCGAUUAGCUAGUUGGUGGGGUAAUGGCCCACCAAGGCUACGAUCGGUAGCUGGUCUGAGAGGAUGAUCAGCCACACUGGGACUGAGACACGGCCCAGACUCCUACGGGAGGCAGCAGUGGGGAAUAUUGGACAAUGGGCGCAAGCCUGAUCCAGCCAUGCCGCGU
rnacentral:rRNA from 1 species